AGAAUCAACGCUGGCGGCGUGCCUAACACAUGCAAGUCGAACGAGAAAGUGGAGCAAUCCAUGAGUAAAGUGGCGCACGGGUGAGUAACACGUGACUAACCUACCCUUGAGUGGGGAAUAACUGAGGGAAACCUCGGCUAAUACCGCAUAAUACCUACGGGUCAAAGGAGCAAUUCGCUUAAGGAGGGGGUCGCGGCAGAUUAGUUAGUUGGCGGGGUAAUGGCCCACCAAGACGGUGAUCUGUA
rnacentral:rRNA from 1 species